GGGGGUUGGGGUUGGGGUUGUUGUUUGGAGAGAGAGGAGAGAGAAAUCUUUUUUUGUUCUUUGAUAGGUGUCAUAUCAGCUCUUUAAAUGCGAUAUCUGUUAAAAUUAGAGAAUUUGAUUUUUUUUAUUAAGUUGAUGUUUUUAAAUUUUUGUGAAUUGCAUUGUUACCGAAGUCAAGAAAUGGUGAGUGAUAUCAAGCGGGGCAACGUGAUGAUCUCCAUUCAACGAGUACCAUGUUGGUAGAACAAAGCAAAGCUUCAACCUAGGUGUCUAAAAUACAGGGGUAUGAGGUGUUAUAGGAUAUUACACUUUAGAUUUUGAGAAGAAUUCCGGUGAUUUAAUGGUAAGACCAUAGAAGAUUGUCUUUCGCUCUCCUUGUCCAGGCUUAUUGGAGCAGCUGCUCUUUUGAUCAGGUAGACAUGGUUUGUAGAUGCAAGCCUACUCUUAAUGACAGCUACGGGUUGAUUUAUUCUCUGAUUAAAUUGGAGAAUUACAUUGAGCCUACUCUUAAUGACAGCUAUGGGGUGACUUAUUCUCUGAUUAAAUUGGAGAUUGACAUUGAACAAUUUUGGGGUUUUUUAAUGUUGGUCUUUGAUGCGUCUUGAUCGUCUUCUCCUCCAUCUACAUUUGAUUAAAUAAAACGAUUUUGUUGUUUUAUGCGAAUAAUAUAUGCUUAAAAUUGGAAAGAAUUAUGAUAUUAUAUCCCAUGUUUUAUCUACCACAAUAUGCAUUUAUGCUAAUAUUUUUUGCUUUUAUUUGUGAUAGGGAUUUAUGGGCCA
rnacentral:misc_RNA from 1 species